GACGAACGCUGGCGGCGUGCUUAACACAUGCAAGUCGAACGGAAAGGCCCUGCUUUUGUGGGGUGCUCGAGUGGCGAACGGGUGAGUAACACGUGAGUAACCUGCCCUUGACUUUGGGAUAACUUCAGGAAACUGGGGCUAAUACCGGAUAGGAGCUCCUGCUGCAUGGUGGGGGUUGGAAAGUUUCGGCGGUUGGGGAUGGACUCGCGGCUUAUCAGCUUGUUGGUGGGGUAGUGGCUUACCAAGGCUUUGACGGGUAGCCGGCCUGAGAGGGUGACCGGCCACAUUGGGACUGAGAUACGGCCCAGACUCCUACGUGAGGCAGCAGUGGGGAAUAUUGCACAAUGGGCGGAAGCCUGAUGCAGCAACGCCGCGUGCGGGAUGACGGCCUUCGGGUUGUAAACCGCUUUCGCCUGUGAUGAAGCGUGAGUGACGGUAAUGGGUAAAGAAGCACCGGCUAACUACGUG
rnacentral:rRNA from 1 species